UCUAGUUUUAGCAACUUUUGAAUUUACUAUGUUACCAAUUACUGAGACUAAUAUAACAGUGCAGUUGUAUAAUGUACAUUUCAGUCUGUUAAGCGAAACACAAAACCAACUCAUUUGAAUGAUUUGUUGCCCAUAAUCUUGCAUGGUAUAUGUCAGUAAUUGGUAACAAAUGGAGGACAUAUGAUCCAUUCCAAAGGGUUGUUACUCAUAAUUUUGUAUGUGUCUAUUGCCUUAUUGCUGAAGAGAAAACAAUGGGGUUCUGAAACUGCCCUUCUAGCAAAUGAUUGGCAGUACCUCUCAACAUAAUAUUUAAUAAUUUCCCUAUGAUAUUUCAUGAAAGCAAGAUAAAACAUGGUUCAUUUUGAAGGCACAAUCAAGCCUCUAAAGCUGCAGUCUUGUCUUGUGACUUGAUUCAUACAGUUCCUGUCUUACAUUAUCUUUCACUCUUUGGCCUACCAUACACAUGCUGCAUCAUUGGGUACUCUGGCCCUACCAGCCGUUUUCAGAAAUUUCUCUGGAUAAGGGAAAGAGGAAGUUUGCCCCAGCUGCCUGUAUUAAGAGUUUCCAAGUUGCCUAAUUUUCCUGCAGUUAUGCUAGGCUGUCCACCCACAGGCAAGUCAUAUUUGUACAGUCACCAUGUCCUUCAGGAUCUGUGAUGGAGAAGUCCAGUAAUGGUCAGCCCAUGGGCUUGAACUGAGAGGAGAGUGUCACUGGAACCAAUAGUCAAGACCAGCCAGACAAAAAACUGUUGUAAUACCAGGCAGGAUGGAUUGGAUGGGACUGUCAAAAACAAACUUCAGGAAUCCAGACACUGGGAGUGCUGCUCAUGAGAUUUUUAUUCAGGACCUGCAAAUUUUCUCAAAGAUGACUGAGCAUCUCUUUGGAAAUGAACCUUUUAAUUCUGCAAUGAUCCAGGAGAGUAACAGCUGUUCUACAGAAGCCACAAACUUCACCUGGCAGACUUCAACUCAGGGAGUGGCCCUUUGACAUCAGCUACCUGUCACAUGACAAGAAAUUGACUUUGGGGUACUGUGAUUGGGGGAUUGGCUUGAACUUUGGGUUGUUUUCAUUGCUUGUAUGUGUUUUUGCGCUUACUCAAAACUUUAACAAUAUUUUAUAUUUGGUGAUAUGUCAGAAUGCUUAUUUAUGUAUGUACUGUAUGUGUAUUCUACAGAGUGGAAGGCAGAAGUAUCAGGCUGAUUGGUCUAUUCAGUAUGUACCUUUUCUCUGAGACUCUCCCACACCCCUCUGUUUACUGCGUGAAUGAGUUCCUCCAGCCAAAACUAUUCGGUUUUUUUCUUGUCAUGUUAUCUUAGUUGAGCCAAUUAUACUUUUAUUAUAUUUAGAGUCAAGAUGAGGCCCCAAGAAUGAGUGUAGCCUGCAAUGGAUCAUUAAUAUCCUUUUGCUGCAGAGAAUACAGUUUUUAAAAAACUCUUUAAAUAAUUUUAUUUUCUCCUUUAUGUUAUUAACAAGUAGCCCACUGCUAAGCAGUUUAGAAAACCAGAAGAAACAAAAAUAUUUUUAUUUACACACAUGUAUAAAAAUAUAUAUACUCAGGUAAGCAUUUAUCUUUCCAUUAAGUUGCCCAACUUUAAGAGUGCCAAAGGUAAAUAAAUCAAAUAUCUGUGUAUUUAAUUGAGAGGGCUAGCUCAUUUUGUUAAAAAUCAUAUUUAACAAUUUUUGCUGACCAACAUGUGCUAAUGAAAUUCAACUUAAAGUUAUAGGCAGUUCAUAUGACAAAAAGCAUUGUAUGUGGCUACAUAGGAGUAUUCCUUAAACAGAAUCUGCUUUGUGCUUAGGACCUUGCUGGGUUUACAGUUUCAACAGUAAGCAGCAAUAAAGAUCAAGAAAAUUCCUAACUUGUCUAACAGCUGCUCUAUAAUGGCACGGGAUGGGAGGGAAAUCACCAUUUUUUUAAACAGCAGAGUCAACUGGGAGUACAUUGUACAUCUACUCAGUGCUUGGAUAAAAAGUGCUAAGACAGCAAGAUACUUGGCUAAUUACCUUUGAUUUUUAAGAAACCCACAAAACACAAAAUAUGUACUUGUCCAUGUAAUAGAUUUAAUCCACAAAUAACCUGAACUAUCUUUCAAAUAAUGUAAUUUUAAAAACCUACUGUUGGGUUCCCCUGAAGUAUCUUCAUAUCAGUAGAUCCCACUUGUAGAUUUUUAUAAUUCACAGUGAACACUAGCAUGAUGAAGGAAGCUGUGGUUCUGCCAUGUGCAACAUUGGCAGAGUUCUGAGCUAUAGCAUCUGAUGCAUUAAGUAGAGGGGUUUGGUAGGGAGGAAUGGGGUUUCCAAGCCAUUACAGAAGUUCUCACCCUUUGUUAAUCUCUCCCCUUUGUUUAGGGAAGCAUUCUAAAGGUAGUAGGUGAUUUCAUAUCUCCCUGAGAAGUGAUCCUUUAAGCCACUUUCUGAAGGCCAGACAUAGUUACACAUUUGGGGAUUGUAGAAGUGGUAUGAGAAAUCUCUUGAUACUCCCAACAUUAAGAUAGAGGUGGGGUGACUUGCAUGGUUGUACAGAAGAUCAGACCAGAAGUCAGUAGGACCAAAAUUAGAAGCAACAGGCACACACUGUGUUCCUAGUGAAGCAUGCAUUUGAAACUUGGUCCUUUAUAUCUGAGGCAUCUUUCAUAAUACCACACCACUAAGUCUUAUAAAAGAUUUGUUAUA